rnacentral:rRNA from 1 species
AUUGAACGCUGGCGGCAUGCCUUACACAUGCAAGUCGAACGGCAGCACGGGAGCAAUCCUGGUGGCGAGUGGCGAACGGGUGAGUAAUAUAUCGGAACGUGCCCGGUCGUGGGGAUAACGUAGCGAAAGCUACGCUAAUACCGCAUACGAUCUACGGAUGAAAGCGGGGGAUUCGCAAGAACCUCGCGCGAUUGGAGCGGCUGAUAUCAGAUUAGGUUGUUGGUGAGGUAAAAGCUCACCCAAGCCGACGAUCUGUAGCUGGUUUGAGAGAACGACCAGCCACACUGGGACUGAGACACGGCCCAGACUCCUACGGGAGGCAGCAGUGGGGAAUUUUUGGGACAAUGGACGCAAGUCUGAUCCAGCCAUUCCGCGUGCAGGAUGAAGGCCCUCGGGUUGUAACUGCUUUUGUACGGUAACGAAAGGUUUCUAUUAAUACUAGGAGCUCAUGACGGUACCGUAAGAAUAAGCACCGGCUAACUACGUAGCC